rnacentral:rRNA from 1 species
AGCCUUGCAAGUCUCAGUACAGACUAUAUUAAAGUGAAACCGCAAAAGGCUCAGUAAACCAGUUUUAAUUUACUAGAGUUAACUUGACUGUGUUUGGAUAACUGUGGUAAUUCUAGAGCUAAUACAUGCAACUAAGCCGUGACCAUUCGUGGUCAGGGCGCUUUUAUUAGACCAAGACCAAUCGCCCGGCCAGUCCGGGCGUUAAGUUGAUGAACCUAGAUAACACAGCAGAUCGCAUGGUCUUCGUACCGGCGACUUAUCUUUCAAAUGCCUGACUUAUCAACUGACGAUGGUAGACUCUGUGUCUACCAUGGCUGUUACGGGUAACGGGGAAUCAGGGUUCGAUUCCGGAGAGGGAGCCUGAGAAACGGCUACCACAUCCAAGGAAGGCAGCAGGCACGCAAAUUACCCACUCCCGGAACGGGGAGGUAGUGACAAAAAAUAACGAUACGGGACUCGAUAUGAGGCCUCGUAAUCGGAAUGAGUACACUCUAAAUCCUUUAACAAAAAUCUAUUGGAGGGCAAGUCUGGUGCCAGCAGCCGCGGUAAUUCCAGCUCCAAUAGCGUAUAUUAAAGUUGUUGCGGUUAAAAAGCUCGUAGUUGGUUCUGCGUCCCGCGCUGUCGGUACACCGUUUGUCGGUGACACUGGCAUGACGCGGGAUGUCCUGUCGGUGGCGGCGGAGACCAUAUCGUCGUCGGAUAACACCGCGGCGUGUUGGCCUUCUGUCGCCGGCUAUAUCCUACCGCGGUGCUCUUCACUGAGUGUCGAGGUAGGCCGACACGUUUACUUUGAACAAAUUAGAGUGCUUAAAGCAGGCAAAAAUCUCUGCCAGAAUAGUGGUGCAUGGAAUAAUGGAACAGGACCUUGGUUCUAUUCUGUUGGUCUCCGGAACACAAGGUAAUGAUCAAUGUGGACAGGCGGGGGCAUUCGUAUUGCGGCGUUAGAGGUGAAAUUCUUGGAUCGUCGCAAGACGCACUAGAGCGAAAGCAAUUGCCAUGUAUGUCUUCCAUAAACGAUGCCAGCCAGCGAUCCGCCGAUGUUCCUUUGAUGACUCGGCGGGGAGCUUUCCCCGGGAAACCAAAGCUUUUGGGUUCCGGGGGAAGUAUGGUUGCAAAGCUGAAACUUAAAGGAAUUGACGGAAGGGCACCACCAGAAGUGGAGCCUGCGGCUUAAUUUGACUCAACACGGGAAACCUCACCAGGUCAGGACAUUGGAAUGAUUGACAGAUUGAUAGCUCUUUCUUGAUUCAGUGGGUAGUGGUGCAUGGCCGUUCUUAGUUGGUGGAUCGAUUUGUCUGGUUAAUUCCGAUAACGAACGAGACUCUAGCCUAUUAACUAGACGCGUUUGGUAUCGAAUCUACCGGCGAACUAUAUUCUUCUUAAGGGGACAGGCGGCUUUUAGCCGCACGAGAUUGAGCAAUAACAGGUCUGUGAUGCCCUUAGAUGUCCUGGGCCGCACGCGCGCUACACUGAAGGAAUCAGCGUGUGCGUUCCCUUGGCCGAAAGGUCCGGGUAACCCGCUGAACCUCCUUCGUGCUAGGAAUUGGGGCUUGCAAUUGUUCCCCAUGAACGAGGAAUUCCCAGUAAGCGCGAGUCAUAAGCUCGCGUUGAUUACGUCCCUGCCCUUUGUACACACCGCCCGUCGCUACUACCGAUUGAAUGAUUUAGUGAGGUCUUCGGACUGGCGGUAAGCCCAACCGACUCUGUCGGUUUUGUCGAACGCUGGAAAGAUGACCAAACUUGAUCAUUUAGAGGAAGUAAAAGUCGUAACAAGGUUUCCGUAG